AACACCGACACUGUCAACAACACCGUCACCAACAACAACACUGACACCAACAACACUGACAACUUCCAGUCAAGAUGACAUUCAAGAGGUUCCUCAACGUGAGGAGGAGGAAUUUCCUGCAGGUAUCAUAGCACUGUUGGUGAUCCUAGGUCUGUUAGUCCUUGCCUCUCCGUCAUUUGUCAUAAUUGCACGGAGAUUGAGACAAAAUGCGAAAUCCAAAGGAGACGAAAAUGCAUUUGGCAAUUCUGGCUUUGAACAACCUGAAGUAAAAUUGGAUUACAACAAUGCUGGCUUUAGCAGAACAGAAACACCAGCAUAAGAAACCUGCAUGUACAUAAAACAAACUUAAUGAAUGAACGAAGAGAGAAACACUAUUUAUUCGGGAUUAAUUAUGUUAAUCCAUGCAUGCAUUACUGAAUUUCAAAACAACUCUAAAAACAAUAAUAAUUAAAAUAAUAUGGUUAUAAUAAAAUACAACAAUGAAUAAAAAGUAAAAGAAAAAGUUACACAUGCACACUCACAGAUAUAUAUAUAUA